UUUUGUAUCUCAUUAGAGAAAGCCUUUCAAUCAAAAUAUUUAACAAAAAUAAAAAAGAAUAACCAAGAAAAAGAAAGAAGAGGAACCGUAACUGUCGUCAUCAUCUUCGGUUGAUCGUGUACUCAACUCCGAUGACCGACCAUCGUCCAACAGCCCAACAUAGUUGUGCACCGUUGCUUCUUCUACUUCGCUCCACUCACCAUUCUCUCUUUAUUUUUCCCCUUUCCUCCCAGUGCGCACAGGGCCAUUCUCUCUUUAUUUUUCCCCUUUCCUCCCAGUGCGCACAACCUG
rnacentral:lncRNA from 1 species